UAGCGCGCGCGGAGACCGCCACCCACCCCUCCCUCCCGGCGGCGCGUGCCCGGCGGCGGGUCGUCCGAUGAGAGGUGUUAUGUGAGCGCGAAAAACGAGCAUCGCAAGAGCAAGCAGGCGCCGGCGACUCGAGAGCCGAGCGGUGGUGGCCGGGGCCGCGAGACACUGUUAACCAUUCAACGGGACUGCUGCAAUCCCCCGCUUCUCCUCAGUUUGCUCAACUCAAAGUAAGAAAAGUUGUGUCAGAUGAAGAUGUCAGCUAUUACUGUUCUUGGCCCCAUCCAGUACACCUCUACCCCCCUUCUACAAGGCCUCACUUUAUGGACCUGAAAGACAGCGGAGGGCAAUUCAAAGCCAGCAGCGAACACUUGGAAUUAAGAACAGGAAGCGAAAUCUUCACGCCAGACCCUCAUGAUCUACAUCUGCUACCUCGCCUGACUGCGGGUCUCAGACUCUCUCGAACUCUGCAGAAAAGUUGCUGUGCUUGCCCUUUCCUCCUCACAUCCAAGUAAGCCAGGUCUUGAUCACACUCUGGAUAUGGUCUCUCCUUCUUACACAAAAAUACACCUUGUUUCGACAAAAACUCAAAGGAACUACCGUUCGUCUAAACAAAAGCCAAUAAAAAUAUUUACCCUAUAGACGGGAAUGUUCUCCUAAGCAAAUUCGACAGUAAGGCUGUUUGCAAAGAUCAUGACACAAUCAUUCACCAACUAGAUUAGAAACUACCUAAAGAUGGGGCCCAAGUUUUAUACCUUUAUAUCUUAAAUAAAAACCUGUUGGUUGAAUUUGA